GUGGGGAAUAUUGGACAAUGGGCGAAAGCCUGAUCCAGCCAUACCGCGUGGGUGAAGAAGGCCUUCGGGUUGUAAAGCCCUUUUGUUGGGAAAGAAAUCCUGUCGGUUAAUACCUGGCGGGGAUGACGGUACCCAAAGAAUAAGCACCGGCUAACUUCGUGCCAGCAGCCGCGGUAAUACGAAGGGUGCAAGCGUUACUCGGAAUUACUGGGCGUAAAGCGUGCGUAGGUGGUGGUUUAAGUCCGUUGUGAAAGCCCUGGGCUCAACCUGGGAAUUGCAGUGGAUACUGGAUCACUAGAGUGUGGUAGAGGGAUGCGGAAUUUCUGGUGUAGCAGUGAAAUGCGUAGAGAUCAGAAGGAACAUCCGUGGCGAAGGCGGCAUCCUGGGCCAACACUGACACUGAGGCACGAAAGCGUGGGGAGCAAACAGGAUUAGAAACCCGAGUAGUCC
rnacentral:rRNA from 1 species